rnacentral:rRNA from 1 species
CCGUUCAAUACUGCGGAGCUCGAGGGCAGAAGAGGGGGGUGGAAUUGCUGGUGUAGUGGUGAAAUGCGUAGAUAUCAGCAGGAACACCUGUGGCGAAAGCGGCCCCCUGGUCUGCUCCUGACACUCAGACGCGAAAGCUAGGGGAGUGAACGGGAUUAGAAACCCCGGUAAUCCUAGCCGUAAACGAUGGAUGCUAGGUGUGGGUGGUAUUGACCCCAUCCGUGCCGAAGCCAACGCGUUAAGCAUCCCGCCUGGGGACUACGGCCGCAAGGUUAAAACUCAAAGGAAUUGACGGGGACCCGCACAGGCAGCGGAGCGUGUGGUUUAAUUCGAUGCUACACGAAGAACCUUACCCAGGUUUGACAUGCAGGUAGUAGUGAAGCGAAAGCGGAACGAUCCUUCGGGAAGCCUGCACAGGUGCUGCAUGGCUGUCGUCAGCUCGUGCCGUGAGGUGUUUGGUUAAGUCCACUAACGAGCGCAACCCCUGUCGUCAGUUACAUGUGUCUGGCGAGACUGCCGGUCUUAAACCGGAGGAAGGUGGGGAUGACGUCAAGUCAGCAUGGCCUUUAUAUCUGGG